CUAACAAAUAACUAAUGUUCCUGUAAACUGCAGUUGUCAGAUGCUGUUUCUGUGAAAAUGAAAGUAACAACACAGGUGAGUUGCCACACAACCACGAAAUCAGCAGGAGUAUAUAAAGCAUGUGUGCCUGUGUCACCAUUCUGUUUUCUUCUUCUUCUUGUUCACUUGUUCAGCAUAUCUGGUAAGAUCAUUAACACUGUCUGAAAUAUUUUGAUGUUAUAUUUGACACUAAUAUUAUUUUCUUUCAGCUUCAUAGACCACUUGCAUAAUAACAAUGGCUGGAUUCACCAGAGGCCUUUUUGUUAUCUCCACUCUGUGUCUGAUUUGUGUCGCAAGUUCGAGGAUGGACAAGCACCAACUGACAUCAUUAAAGAGCACACUUCAGAACCUGGAACAAGAAUUGGAUGAAGUAAAGGCAAACUACAGUUUAACGAGACACAUUUUCUCAGAGAUGACAGAAGCAACAUUCCAAUCCAUCAGCAGACAGGAGAAGGCACUGAGGAGAGCCCCACCUGAGCUGAAAUCACUGGUGGAUGAUUUGCAGAAAUACAAAGCUGCUGGAGAAAAGAUGAAAGUCUCACUGGACACCAUGGACAUGGAGGUUUCCAUACAAUUGUGGUAUGCAGAGAGAGAACUCACAGCUCUGAGGGAGCUGAUAGAAUCUUUAGAGGAGGAUGAAGAUGAACUCUGAGUAGUGUCGGUGUAACAGCAUCUUUCUUAACCUUAGUGACCCAUGCCCCGUUGACCUAUGUCCUUAUACAUCUUGCAUCCCUUUCUCCCCAUAUACCCUCUGGGACAUUUACUGAUGUUAAUCCUGUCUUCUUACACUAUAAUAUAUGAUUAUGCUCAUUUCAAGAUGUAUGUGUUUGUUCCAAGAAGCCACAUCUGUUAGAUAGUGGAGAGUAUAAGAAGGGAGCUGCUCAGGAGAGACCUUGAGCACUCCUCCAGAGACUUUUGUCUGUGUCUGUGACUGCUCCUUCUUGUAACAAUAAAUACACCUGAGUAAACCGC
rnacentral:lncRNA from 1 species